CAAUGAAUUUUAUUCUGUUGAUGCUAAAUAUGUAACUUAUAAAGAUUUCACAUCCAAACACCUUUCAUUAUAAAGUUACCAUAAUAUUUCCUUUUCAGAAAUAUGAAAUACAUCACACACAUUUAGUUAAACCUUUCAUAUUACAUUCACAUUUUACAAUAGCUGACUUAAUAAGACAUAUUCAAACUAAAUGACCAUAUGAGGUAGUAUCAAAUGUAUCUAAGAGUAAAUAUUGAAGUAUGGCAUAUUUAGACAAGAAUAUCAAGGCAGCUCACCUAACAAAAAAAAACAUAUUUUUUUUUUACAUAAAAUCCACUUUUUCAAUAUUAUUUUUUUUGAUCUCUCUNNNNNNNNNNNNNNNNNNNNNNNNNAACAUUUUAAAUAGCGCUUGAUGAAGCUUUUAAAAUAUUUUUCGAUAAAAUAAAUCAGAACUGACUUGUAAUGAGAUAAUUGGUUAAUACAUGUAUGGUUACUGUUUUAAUAUGAAAAUUUAUUGUGAAUUUGUUUUAUUUGUUUUAUUGAUGUAAUGUAAGGUUGAUCUGAUUUAAUUUUAAUUUCUGGUUUGUUAAACGGUACGUCUUCUUGUCUGUUGCUUUCCGUCCAGAAUCUCUACACUGACAAAAGAGUUCCAGCAGUUUCAAAUAGAAUGGACCUUUAAUCAUCAUUAUUUAAAGAAAUUAUUCGAAAUACACGAAGUUCAAUCUAAAUUUAAAGUGAAAAUUUUUCAUUCCAAGAUAAUAAGGACAUUUUUAAGAGUUUGUUUGAAAGGGGACAGUUUGAAGUUAGAACAGUUUCCGAUUGUUCUCAUUUAAAAGAAAUUUAAGAUUUGAAUGGAAUGGAAUGCAAUGUUACAUAUACUAUUAACAGGGACUGGCAAAUAUGGAGAAUCAAUGCUUUUAAUGUAUUAAAUUCAACAAAUCAAUUGUACAAACAUGAAUUUUACAUUGAUAAUAAACAUACUUUUUUUCGAGAGGAUUUAGAGGAAAACUGAAAUUAAAUUUUCAAUAUAUAUGUAUGCAGUGUUUUUUGAAAAUAAAAAUAUUAAUAUUUAAUAACAGUCUAUGAACACACUUUUAUAUGAAAUAUAUAUUCACUGUAAGUUUUUAAAAUAAUAAUUCAGUUUUAAGAUUAUAAACCCAUUUGAGAUUUUAAAAAGAUAUUUUCAUAAUUAAUAUUGAUUUAAUGAAAGGAAAAACAGAAGUUGGAAAAUGUUCCUAAUUAGGACACAAUAAUUAUAAGCAAUUGGGCAGAUGGAAUAAUUAAUGGCUGGAUUUUUAUUUCAAGUAUAAAUUGUAGUUAUAUGCCUCAAAUAUACUUACGCGAAAAUACAUACCAAAACAUAGCCCUACUUAGUGGUUUCAUUUUAUUCAUUAUUUCAUAAGACAUCAUUUUUUUUCGAUCAUGUUCAUGAAAUUAUCAGAUGUAUUUUCUCAUCUUCAAAUUCGUCUUCGAGACAUUAAACUGGCAUUUCUACAUAAAGGAAAUUACUGGUGCAAUGUAUGAAUGGUGGGUUGUAAAAGUAGCUUGAUUCCCCUUUAAAAAAAUCUCUUUACUUUCCCUAUAAUAGUACAUGUAGAAGAUACCGGCCUUUUGUUGAAAACAUUUAUAAAAUGGACAAAACUUUAUCAUUUCAAUAAGUCUUGUACAUUUAUUUUAUGGUUUUGAACAACUUGACCUGAGUGUUUAUUUUUUCGAAAAAGAGGUUAUUCAUGAAAGGGGAUAGUUUGAUUAAUAUUAAUUGGCAGAGCAAAAUUUUAUGUGAUAUAAUAUUCUGUCUUAUUCUUUUUUUUAUUAUAUAGAAGUAGAAACAAGUAGGAUUUAAAAUUUUCUCUUUAACAUUUUCUUGCCAUUUUUGUAGAAUUUGCACCUUUUUGAGAAGCACAUAAAUAGAGGCUUUAUUAGAUAAGUACAAAUCUUUCCAUAUGAUACAAUUUCUAAAUAUAGAUCAAAUGGGUUUUUCCCAAAUUCUUAAAAUAGAGAGUCUGGCAGGCAUGUGAAGCGUAAAUCUUUGUUGUAUUUGCUUGUUGAUUUAUUUGUAAAUUUUUUUUCAUUUUAUAGGAAUGUCUUCUCAACUAUUUAACUUUUUCUUACAAUGAAUUCUGUUUAAAAUGGUAUGUGUUAAAUUCAAAUUGCUUAAAUGGAAAAGCUUGAUUCAAUCACUUCUGACCUUUACCAUCUGAAUGAUUUAGAUGUAUUUAAACUGGCAUUAUAUUUUUUAAAAGGUUUUGUAAAAAUCAAAAUAGAAUUGAAUCCUUUCAAAUUAAUAGGUUAAGAGAUUAUUGACACUUGUCAUGAAAGAAAUAACAAUAAAUACAUUAUAUCAAACUUUGUACAUACAUAUAUGAAAUAUUGUUUAUUCUAUGAACAUGAUUAGAUAGUAACUAACUUGUUAAAAACAGCACAUUAUAUGUACAAAUUAUGAUCUUUUUUGUAAUUAUGUUUUCUUCCAAUUUUAGGCAGGAUGAAAUAUAUGCCUUGUAAGAAUCUUGUAAAUUUGUAUGAUAACUUUUACUGUACAUAAAGAUAUAUUUAUAUAAACUCAUUUAUAAGGUCUUGAUAAAGUUAAGGCCUUCCAAACACUAACAGUGGUUCCUGACCGUUUUUAGUAUAGUUUUAUUUUUAUUUGUUAUAAUUUGGCACUCUUUGUUUUAUUUGUUUUAACAUCAUCAGUAUAUCUGUUAUAUAAAUAACAGCUUUUUUAAUCUUCCAUUUUUCCACAAUUCAUUUGCAUAUUUUAUAGUCGAUCAUAAUUUUAUACAUCAUUUAAAAAUACUACACAAAUUUGUCUCGACAAAGUGUUUGUUGCAGCCUUUAUAGCUACAUUGGAAAGGAAUAAGGAUACAUGGUUAUUAUAGUAUUUAGAUGAAGAGACUUUGCCUUAAAAAAUGUAGUUAAUUUAUCAACUUCGUUAUUAAUCCAUUUAUAGGAAGAAUUGUCAAUUUUUUAACCUUCAAUUGAUAAUGUUAACUGUUGGGACUCGAAUAACUAAUAACUAAUGUAAGACAAAUGUGCCCAUUUAUGUGUUAUAUAUUCUCUGCUAGGAGUUCAAAUCGUUGACCAAAGGUCACUUGCAUAUCAUUAGUUUAAUAAUCUUGUGUGCCUGCUUCCAACAUGAGAGAACACUAUGUAUAAACACCAAAUAUUGUGGAUUCAUAUAUUUUCGUGGGUACCAGUUUUUCGUGGAUUGAGCCAAAUUUGCUUAUUCAUGGAUAUUUGAUUUCGUGGUUUUGUCGAUUUCUACAUCCAAGCCUAAGGAAUUUGUUAUUCUUUGGUCAUUUAAAUUUGUGGUUCACCUGUACCCACGAACUCCACAAAAAUUGGUAUCCAACGAAUAAUGAUAAAUCUACAGUAAGAGUUGUGCAGCAAUAAUAUAAGGUAUAUGGUGUCUGGUCUAUAUUGGUGCAUAAUGCAUGUAAUCUUACUAUGGAAUAAUUAAUUGUAUGUAUGUAAUUUUAUAUUUAUUAACAUGAAAAAGGUAUUUAAAGCUGGGAUUUUGCUUAACAAGCCAAGAUCAAAAUUAAAGAAACAGAUUUGCUUCAAUGCUAGAUUUACAUGUUUAAAUAUUAUGGCUAGGAUUCUGCUUAACAAGCUGAGAUCAAAAUUAAAGAAACAGAUUAGCUUCUAUGCCAGAUUUACAUUAUACGGGCAUUAAAAAAAUAUGCUGUCUUUGUGUCGAUCAUUGUAGUUGUAAUAUGUGAAGUAAAAAAUUCAAAUUCCCCUUUCCCAACUCAGUAAAACUCUUCGCUUUUUUUUAACCAAGUUGGAUUUGACAGUCUAUGAAAGAAAUUAAUGUACCAGUAUAUAAAUUUUAUAUAAUUUUGAGAAAGACCAACUUCAUGUGUGAGUUGAGUGCAUUUUACACCAGGAAAAUAAAUGAUUGAAAACAUUGUCUAAUUAUUGUCAAUUGAUAAUUUGUAUAUCUACUUAAAUCAAAAAUUAAUAUUCACAUAUUUUUUUUUAAAUCCACUACAUAACCCAAGUUACAACCAUUUAUGCGCAGACUGCUUUUUUUUAAGCGUACAGUGUAAAAGCUUUUAUACAAUAUUUUCUUUUUAAUACACUUUUCACAUUUGAAUUCAAUCUAAUUUCUUUUUUUUUCUGCAGAUUUUAUUCCUAACUAUUUUAAGGAGUUUUAUAUCACUUGUUUUAUGAAAUUUAUUUAUUGUGAAUUUUUAAAUCUGUUUUUUUUUUUGUGUCUAGAUUUGCUAGCAAGUAUCUGUAUUUGUACUCCAGCACCAAGUUAAUUAUUUCUACCUUUUUAUGUCAACUUUCUGGUCAGUUUGACUCCAAUUAGUAUUACAAAAUUUAUUAAAAUUUCAAUAUUUUUUUUUGUUAUAUGUUUUGAAUAACAUUGUAUACACAGAAGUAUUGCUUAAUAAAAGAUAUCAAGCAUGUGGUUUUAGUUCCAUGUUGUUACUGUCAGAGCUACAGUACUUUUGUGUACCAGUUUGUGAUCUGAUUCCUUCCUUUAACUAGACUAGCGGUACCAGAUUCAGGAUCAAACUGAUCAGAAACUGACCCUUUUACAGCAGAAGUUUUUAUUAUGAUAUUGUUGAAUAGCAGUUUUAAAGCUUGUACAAAUGACAAGUGAAAUAUUAUUACCUGUAUUUAUAACAUGCUCAAGUAAUUAUUCCGUGUUUAACAAAAUCUGGUUUGUAAAUUCUAAACAUAAAAAUAAAGUAUAAAAGUGCA
rnacentral:lncRNA from 1 species